rnacentral:sRNA from 1 species
CCCGGCCUCGUGUCCCCCCUCGGCGCCCGGGGGUGGACGCUGGCUCGGGGGUCCCCGCCCGCCCCCGCCACCGAUUGCGCCCGCUGGCCGCCGUUUGCGCCAGGAUUUUUGUUGUUGUGAUGAGAGUUGAUGAAUGCGAAGUAGGCGGUCACCUUCCUUCCCAUCAGGGUUGGAAAAAAAAAAAAAAAGAAACCCCGAGCGCGGCGGCGUCCGGAGGGCAGCGGCGGCGGCGGCGGCGGCGGCGGCGUCUCGGCGACGGUUCCCUGGGCGCCCCCGGCUCCUGCUCCCUGAGCCCGGGUUCAUAGUGGCGUCAUGCACGCAGACUCCUGCAAGUUCCCCUAAGUUCUUAGAGGACUGCUUUGCCUUUUGAUCUGAGAGUUGCAAAGUUCCAUAAAGAAUGGCCCUUGUGGAUAAGCACAAAGUCAAGAGACAGCGAUUGGACAGAAUUUGUGAAGGUAUCCGCCCCCAGAUCAUGAACGGCCCCCUGCACCCCCGCCCCCUGGUGGCGCUGCUGGACGGCCGCGACUGCACUGUGGAGAUGCCCAUCCUGAAGGACCUGGCCACCGUGGCCUUCUGUGACGCGCAGUCGACGCAGGAAAUCCACGAGAAG